AGUGAAUAGUGAAUGAUUGCUUGAUUCCGUUUGGCCCCAAAUCUUUGCCCUUUCCUGGUUUUCACCUAGUCUGGGGAGCUGCAGCUGAAAGCAGAAUCCCUGGGCCUUCCUGGUGGAAAAGUCUCCCUGGGCUGUGCUGGUGAGAGCCCCUGGGUGAGAGGCCUUAGCAGUGCCAAGGCCUCCCAGCUUCUGCCUGCUCAGGGAACCCCUGCCCUCACCCCUGCCUGCCGCAGCCAUCCCUAGUGGCCACAUAUAGUCCCAGAAGAUGCAGGGAGGGUUUCGCUGCAGAAUAAACAUAUAGGCUGUACAUCCAGUGAUUCAGAAGAUCCUACUGUGCUGGCCUCCCUCUUCCCCAAACCAUGCUGUUGCCAUAGCAACAGUUGCCAAACUAGAGCUUGCUGAGGGCAUCCCAAUUAACCCCUUCCUGGUGCACAGGGCCCUCAGUA
rnacentral:lncRNA from 1 species